GACGAACGCUGGCGGCGUGCUUAACACAUGCAAGUCGAACGGUGAAGCUCCAGCUUGCUGGAGUGGAUCAGUGCCGCACGGGUGAGUAACACGUGAGCAACCUGCCCCAGACUCUGGAAUAAGCCCUGGAAACGCCGUCUAAUACUGGAUACGAGAUCAUGCCGCAUGUUUUUGGUCUGGAAAGUUGUUCGGUUUUGGAUCGGCUCGCGGCCUAUCCGCUUGUUUGUGUGGUAAGGGCUCACCAAGGCGACGACGGGUAGCCGGCCUGAGAGGGCGAACGGCCACACGGGGACUGAGACACGGCGCAGAAUCCUACGGGAGGCAGCGGUGGGGAAUAUUGCACAAUGAGCGAAAGCCUGAUACAGAGACGCCGGGUGAGGGAUGACGGCCUACGGGUGGUAAACCUCUGUCAGCAGGGAAGAAGCGAAAGUGACGGUACCUGAAGAAGAAGCAACGGCUAACUACGUG
rnacentral:rRNA from 1 species